UAACUCUUCUUAACUGUCAGUGGCAAACACCAUCCGGUUUUUGCCUUAAAAGGGAACUCGGUGAGAAGUCCGAGACUGCCCCGCAGCGGUAUUUGGGAACGAAAUUCGCAAUCUUAGCACUGACUGAACAAGUUGGGAAGCAGCGAAAAGUAGGUGAUUUUGCCCAUAAGUCCGAAGACCUGCUGACAAGGCCGCAUACAA
rnacentral:ncRNA from 2 species